rnacentral:rRNA from 1 species
AACGAACGCUGGCGGCAGGCUUAACACAUGCAAGUCGAGCGGGCCCUUCGGGGUCAGCGGCGGACGGGUGAGUAACGCGUGGGAACGUGCCCUCUUCUACGGAAUAGCCCAGGGAAACUUGGAAUUAAUACCGUCUACGCCCUACGGGGGAAAGAUUUAUCGGGGAGGGAUGAGCCCGCGUUGGAUUAGCUAGUUGGUGGGGUAAAGGCCUACCAAGGCGACGAUCCAUAGCUGGUCUGAGAGGAUGAUCAGCCACAUUGGGACUGAGACACGGCCCAAACUCCUACGGGAGGCAGCAGUGGGGAAUAUUGGACAAUGGGGGCAACCCUGAUCCAGCCAUGCCGCGUGAGUGAUGAAGGCCUUAGGGUUGUAAAGCUCUUUCACCGGGGAAGAUAAUGACGGUACCCGGAGAAGAAGCCCCGGCUAACUUCGUGCCAGCCGCCGCAGUAAUAC